AAAGAGGUGGUAGGUUUAUUAGGGCUCGAACAUACGUGAAUAUCACCAUUGUCAGCGAUAAAUUUCAACCAAUUAAACUAUAAGCCCCUAUGAAUAUCUGCACGCAAUUUGCUCACUUCAAGAAGUGAUCAAAAUUCACAUGUAGUUGACAAUAAAACCUUCCCUUUACAGUCGUUGCUUAAGCAAAUAGUGAAAACUUUCUUAUUGAUUUAUGUGAUUUAUGUCACGGUAAAACUAGAACGAGAUAGCUGUGAAAUUUGUCACUAGAUUGCCACAGACUGCGAGUCAACAUGGCGUACUAAUUUCUACUCUCUCUCUCUCUCUCUAUAUAUAUAUAUAUCAAAAGGAACAAAAAUUGUACAAUGGAGAUUGCAGACUGAAUUUUGGUCAUUUUUUAAAAAGUUUUACUGUGCUGCCAUGUGUCCCACUUGUUUAUAAAUAGGGAGCACCUGUCCUGCCGCAGGUAUACCUACUAGCAAUGUGUCCCAUUUUUACGUUGCUUCUUUAGUGAAAUGUGUUUGAAUGAUCCCUUAGCCCUGACCUACUGCGUCUGUUCUUUUUCUAAUUUUGUUCUGAUUUCCGCAAGUUCCUUUUGAAGCUCAGAUGGACUCGGUAGUUUCUUCAUCGGUGAUUAAGAGUUCAACUCAAAAUGGUUGUUUGAGGUAUAUUCUUUUGCUGAUUGUUCAAAUUUAGUGCAGUUUUAAUUUCUUAUGGAUGUAAAUGUUAUUUCUUCCGCUUGCUUUUCGAAUUUAUUAUCACCUAUUUGCUUCAUUGUUUGAGUGAGUCGCCAUUUUCGGUCUUCCUCCCUUUUCCUUGACGCUAAAAAAGACAAAAGUAUUUGUCUUGAUAACAAAAAGAAAGAAAGAAGAGAACAGAGGGAGUGCAUAGAGAGAGCGAACAAUAUUACCAUAGACAGAAAAUGCAACUUAAUGACUCUCAGUACUUAUAGCAUUGCACACUCGAGGUGGUUGAUGAUAUGCCUGAUACUACUAACAAUAGAUUGUUCUUUUGUUUUCGCGGAUUGUUCAGAACAUUCUGAUGUAUUAUGCAACCAUUCGAAAGGCACAUCGUCAUGAUAAAAAAAAAUAUCUCAAAAGGUAUGACGUAGACCUCAAAAUACUAAGGAACAACAGAUUGCUGAUAGAGCUUGCCAAAGCCGUUCCUUGCAGGUUCUUCUCUCUCCCUGAAACAUAUGCAUUGUAAUUUUCGAGUUUCUAGCUUAACCAUUUUAUCAUCGUAUCUAAAUCUCAACAUACAUUUCUAGAAUUGGUAGACACAUUCAUGUUACUUUUUUAAAUGAGGUAUUGUAUAUGUGCAAUCAAUAACCAAAAGCUUAUAGCAUAAAAAAAAAAUGCAAAUCUUAGUAAAUUAGUAAUAUAGGCAUAAACAGUACGUUGAUUUUUCACACUUUUGGGGGGGUUAUUUGGAUCUGCUAUAAUAAUUUUUGUUAGCUGAUUCUGAGAUCCUCAGAAGAUUUACGUUACAUGCAUCCAUUUUGGCUCUUUGAUAAAGAACCCUUAACUUGCAAUAAAAUGAAAGAGAUUUAUAAGCAAAACAAUAUUGAGCCAAAAGGAGAAUGGUUAUGGAUGAUUUAUAUAGUUGACGCUAAUUUUGUUCCAUAUUGAAGUUUAGUUGGCUCUUUUCAUUUUUGGGAUUUUUAGCAGAUUUAAGUAUGAUUCAUAUAACUUGACUCUAACGGUUAUUUGGGCUUACAACCUAGGAAGCGAGCUUCAUGAUAUGAGGGAUAGAGUAUGCUAUAUUCUUUUCAGUGACACAAAAUUUAAUUAUGGAACUUUAAUAUACUGCUGUAUUUUACAUGAUUGAUCAUUGGCCAGAAAAUUGUAGUUGUUAUAUAAUGGUUUAAAAGUGAUCGGAUAAGAGCUUUUUAACAGGGGAGGGAGUUUCAUGUUCUGUUUUUUAAAGUGCUGUUUGGUAGAUAAAGAAAGUAUAUUAAAUUAUGCACCCAAAUUCUAGGAUAAUCUCAGUAAUAUAAAGGAGCCUUCAUUUGAAAUUUAAUAUUGUUUUGCCUUUUUAAUUUUUUCAAUGAGGCACUCCAUAAGGAUCAUGUGAGCAGACCCUACAAGCUGACUGCCUUCAUCACCUACAAGGCUGGGAUGAGAUUGAGAAAGAAUUUUAGUUGUGUAUUCACAUUGUUCAUUUGUAUUAGCACUUAGACAUGGUAAAUAACAGUAACUUUGGUUUCUCGCACUGCCUUUCUCCCCUUAGGGUGUGAGACAAUACUAUUAUGUUGUCAUUUGAAUGCAUGGUUGGCUUUAGGGUGAUAUGUGGAACGCUCAUACUAAUUAAGGUAAGAAUGAACUUUAUAAUGAUAUGUGGGCAGCUCAUAUUAAGCAAGCAAGGUAAGAAUGAACUUUGCAGUUCCUUGGUAAACUAUAAGAAAUUCUUUCCAGUUUCUUUAUAAAAAAUAACUUUUUCCGUUUACUUUAAUUUUGAUAUCAGUGACCGUGAUAUCUUAUUAGCUGUUAUUUCAAUGUUUAUAGUAUAUAAUAAAAGGAAUGACCGCUACUUUGGCUCUCAAUGAGUUUGAUUGACCGAUAACUUCCCAAAAGAAAAAAGUGAAAGGUACACGAAUGUAUUAGUUUAUGGUUAGGCAUGUCCCCUUUAUAAAUUUAAGUUCUAAAAAAAUGAGUGUCUAGGUAAAUGCUUCAUCACAGUGCAAAGCACUUGAAGAACUGCAGCCUCAACUUUGACUUAUUAGGGAGUUUGAAAUUAGUCAUAGAAUUUAUCUGCGUGUAGAUGUUUAGAACUUCAUAAUGAAUAUGACUCUUGGUCAUUCUUCUAGCCUCUAUUGUGUUUGAUAAGUUUGGUGAGUUUUCUCUUCUUUCUUUCUUUUUCCUUGAAAGUUUUGUCCAUCUUUUUGUUUGAUUUUGGAUUUUCUAUUGUUUUGAAUACUUUGUUGCUACAUUUGUACAUGCAUGUCUGGAAUUAUAUCUGAUUCUGAUAUGCAAAAUUGGAAAGAAAUACCUAAAUUCAUGUCAGUGUUUUAAAAGGCAGUUUUGGGACUCGUCUCGGGGCUCGCCCCGGGGCGGGGCACUAGAAAAACGCCCCAGGGCUCACGUGCGAGGCUUAGUUCUUAUGAGGCUUACGCCCUAAGCGCCCGAUUGUACGCCCUAAACACGCCUAACGCCCAACGCUGGGGGCUCGUCUAAUAGUUCUUACACAAUUAUAUGUUAAAUUCCUUAAUUAAAAUCGUUGACCUUCAUAAUUCUUUAACAAAUGAUUGAUACUUAAUAGUUUUUCAUUUACCGAAAUAAGAAGAUUGGGUAUAACUCAAAUAACAAGUCGUAGUAUUGCAUAUUACUAUUUGAGAACAUCGAGAGGGUGAAUAUUACUUAAUAUUUCUUUUAAAAAUACAUAACUGAAUUGUGAGUUUUCACUUGUCAUUAGUCUUUUUUCCUAUGUAUCAAAAUUAUCAUAUUUUAUUAUUUCUCUAUUUAAAAGUAAUUUUAUUUUUAUUCAUGAAGGAAUUACGUUUCAAUUAUAAUAUUGAUAAAGUUGUUUAUAGGGAGAUAAAAUGAAUAGUAUGAUAGUAAUAUUGUUUUAAGAAAUUAUGAUUUUUUCAUUGUUUGAAAGUUAAAAUGUUAGAGUUGAUUUGCAUUUCAUAACAACUUUUAUUUCAUUGUAUGCUUUAUACUUGUAAGGUUAUAUUAUAUAUAAUUACAAGUUGUA